UAUAGGAGUAGGGUGUUAUAGGAGUAGGAUGUUAUAGGGCCAGGUGUUAUAGGGCCAGGUGUUAUAGGAGUAGGAUGUUAUAGGGCCAGGUGUAUAGGAGUAGGAUGUUAUAAGGCCAGGUGUAUAGGAGUAGGAUGUUAUAAGGCCAGGUGUUAUAGGAGUAGGAUGUUAUAGGGCCAGGUGUUAUAGGAGUAGGAUGUUAUAGGCCAGGCGUUAUAGGGCCAGGUUUUAUAGGAGUAGGAUGUUAUAGGGCCAGGUUUUAUAGGAGUAGGAUGUUAUAGGAGUAGGAUGUUCUAGGAGAAGGAUGUUCUAGGGCCAGGUGUUAUAGGAGUAGGAUGUUAUAGGAGAAGGAUGUUCUAGGAGAAGGAUGUUCUAGGGCCAGAUGUUAUAGGAGUAGGAUGUUAUAGGGCCAGGUGUUAUAGGAGUAAGAUGUUAUAGGCCAGGUGUUAUAGGGCCAUGUGUUAUAGGAGUAGGAUGUUAUAGGGCCAGGUGAUAUAGGAGUAGGAUGCUAUAGGGCCAGGUGUUAUAGGAGUAGGAUGCUAUAGGGCCAGGUGUUAUUGGAGUAGGAUGUUAUAGGGCCAGGUGUUAUAGGAGUAGGAUGUUAUAAGGCCAGGUGUUAUUGGAGUAGGAUGUUAUAGGAGUAGGAUGUUAUCGGAGUAGUAUAUAAUAGGGCCAGGUGUUAUAUGAGUGAGAUGUUAUAGGGCCAGGUGUUAUAGGGCCAGGUGUUAUAGGAGUAGGAUGUUAUAGGGCCAUGUUUAAUAGCAGUAGGAUGUUAUAGGGCCAGGUAAUAUAGGAGUAGGAUGUUAUAGGGCCAGGUGUAUAGGAGUAGGAUGCUAUAGGGCCAG
rnacentral:lncRNA from 1 species